rnacentral:sRNA from 1 species
GACCAGCCGAAGGUUCGACCAGCCGCCU